GGGGGCGGAGCUGCUACUGGUGGGCAGGCCGGACUUCAAAUCCGUGCGGCGGCAUUAGCCGUGUCGUCGGUGGGUUCGAUUCCCACCCGCUCCCCCCA
rnacentral:tRNA from 1 species